AAGGCCAUCGUGUGGACUUUUGCUGCUACUACAAGAGUCUGUACCAAGCACAUCUUGGUUCUCAUCACAGGGGCCCCCAUCUACACCAACAGGAAGGGGCCGGAGCCGAAUUCGCAAGGCUUUUACACCACGAACAAAGAA
rnacentral:lncRNA from 1 species